rnacentral:ncRNA from 1 species
UGGAACAAUGUAGGUAAGGGAAGUCCGCAAGCUGGAUCCGUAACUUCGGGAUAAGUAUUGGCUGUAAGGGCUGGGUCGGUUGGGCUGGGUGUGUGCCGCCACUCGAUGAGGCCCCGCUGCCCCCCCAAGCCCCAGGAAUGCCUGUUGUGGCCCUCCCCUGCCCCAACCCGUGUGCUGCUCACUCCCUCCCCUGCCCCCUCUCUCCCUGUCCUCCCCCUCUAUGGAGGUAGCUUGUGGGGGUGGAGGGGUGGCAGUGGCCAUACAGCCCCAGUGGCAGGGCAUGAUCUCCCGUGAGGGGGGGCUGGUGGUGGUGGUGACUCUGGACACAAGCUGGGCCCUUCCCAUGGAUUGCCCCAGUUGUGGCCACCCAUGGGGAGCCCAGUGGGUGCUGGCGUGUCCUGUCUCGCUCCGCGCUGUCAUGCAUGUCGGCGUGGGCAGGGAGUGAUUGGGUCAGUGGGUGGCAGGCGGGGUGGUUCAUUCCCCCACCUCCCCCGCAGCCCCAUCUGUCUCCUGUCCCCCCCUCCGUGGAGGUGGCGGGCCGCGGGCUGGUCCCCGCCACAGGGGCCACGGUUCCGUGCAGCACCUCGGCCAGUGCUUAGCAGCCGACUUAUAGAACUGGUGUGCACCAGGGAAAUCCAACUGUUUAAACAAAGCAUCGCGAAGGCCCUCGGGGGGUGUUGCCAAGUGAUUUCUGCCCAGUGCUCUGAAUGUCAAAAUGAAGAAAUUCAAUGAAGUAUGGGUAAAUGGCGGAAGUAACUAUGGCUCUCUUAAGGUAGCCAAAUGCCUCGUCAUCUAACUAGUGACGUGCGUGAAUGGAUGAAUGAGAUUCCCACUGUCCCUACCUACAACCCCAGAUUUCAUCUGGCAUCAGCCCCCCACACCCAGGAAUCACCUACAAACUCACGAGCCUCAUGGUGCUCCUCCCCUAUGUCUUUCAUCUCUUCCCCCCCAGGCCUCAGGGACUCUCCUGUGUCUCCCAGUUACUCUCCAGCCAUCCAGAGGUUUCUGCGGGAGUCAGCCCCAUGCACCCAGGAGUCCCCCAGAGACUCACAAGUCUCGGGAGAAUAUGAGCAGUCCCCCAGCCCUGACUCCUCAAGAUUCAUACCUGUCUCACCCAGCUUCUCCCUCUCCCCUCCCAGAAACUCAGACCCAAGAGGCAGCUCCUCACCAGGGAUGUGGAAGUACUCUACAUCAUCCCGCAGGGCUUCACCACUCUCACAUCCCUCAUCAACAGAAUUUCAUAACUUUACAUUUCCCUUUCCUAGCCAAGCAGGACAAUCACUCAUGUCAUUGUGCUCUCCUGUGUCCAGUGAAACCACAGCCAAGGGAAUGGGGUUGGUGGAAUCAGUGGGGAAAGAAGAACCUGUUGAGCUUGACUGUAGUCUGGCAUGGUGAAGAGACAUGAGAGGUGUAGAAUAAGUGGGAGGUCCACAGUGCCCCCCUAUCCCCGUGAGGGGGUGGGGUGGGGUCCUGUGGGCUGCCCAUGGAAUACUACUACUCUGAUCGUUUUUUCACUGACCUGGUGAGGCAGGGGGUGAGCCCCGAGGGGCCCUCCCUUCUGGCGCCAAGUGCCCAGCUGCACGCCAGCUGGGUGUUGACCCGUCCCGAGGACAGUGCCAGGUGGGGAGUUUGGGAUGGUACACCUGUCAAACGGUAAUGCAGGUGUCCUAAGGAGAGCUCAGGGAGGACAGAAACCUCUUGUGGAGCAGAAGGGCAAAAGCUCGCUUGAUCGUGAUUUUCAGUGCGAAUACAGACUGAAAGCUGGGCUUUGACGAUCAUUCUGAUGUUUUUAAGCAGGAGGUAUCAGGAAGUUACCACAGGGGAUAACUGGCUCGUUGCGGCCAAGCAUUCAUAGGGAUGUUGUUUUUUGAUCCUGUGAUGUUGGUUCUUCCUAUCAUUGUGAAGUAGAAUUCACCAAGCAUUGGAUUGUUCACCCACUAAUAGGGCAUGUGAGCUGGAUUUAGAUCGUAGUGAGACAGGUUAGUUUUACCCUCCGUGAUGUGUGUUGUUGCCAUGGUAAUCCUGCUCAGCAUGAGAGGAACCGCAAGUUCAGACAUGUGCUUCGUUGAGGAGCCAAUGGAGUGAAGCUACGGUCUGUUGGAUUGUGACUGAACGCCUCUAAGUCAGAAUCCUGCCCAGGCAGAAGGAUACAGCA